rnacentral:rRNA from 1 species
GAUGAACGCUGACAGAAUGCUUAACACAUGCAAGUCAACUUGAACUUCGGUUUGGGUGGCGGACGGGUGAGUAACGCGUAAAGAACUUGCCUCACAGAUAGGGACAACAUUUGGAAACGAAUGCUAAUACCUGAUAUUAUGAUUUUAGGGCAUCCUAGGAUUAUGAAAGCUAUAUGCGCUGUGAGGGAGCUUUGCGUCCCAUUAGCUAGUUGGAGAGGUAACGGCUCACCAAGGCGAUGAUGGGUAGCCGGCCUGAGAGGGUGAUCGGCCACAAGGGGACUGAGACACGGCCCUUACUCCUACGGGAGGCAGCAGUGGGGAAUAUUGGACAAUGGACCAAGAGUCUGAUCCAGCAAUUCUGUGUGCACGAUGAAGUUUUUCGGAAUGUAAAGUGCUUUCAGUUGGGAAGAAAAAAAUGACGGACCAACAGAA